rnacentral:rRNA from 1 species
CCUACGGGGGGCUGCAGUGGGGGAUAUUGCACAAUGGGGGAAACCCUGAUGCAGCGACGCCGCGUGAGUGAAGAAGCGUUUCGGCGCGUAAAGCCCUAUCGGCAGGGAAGAAGAUGACGGUACCUGACCAAGAAGCCCCGGCUAACUACGUGCCAGCAGCCGCGGUAAUACGUAGGGGGCAAGCGUUAUCCGGAUUUACUGGGGGUAAAGGGGGCGCAGACGGGAAUGUAAGCCAGGAGUGAAAGCCCGGGGCCCAACCCCGGGACGGCCUUUGAAACUGCAUGGCUGGAGUACAGGAGGGGUAGGCGGAAUGCCUAGUGUAGCGGUGAAAUGCGUAGAUAUUAGGAGGAACACCGGUGGCGAAGGCGGCCUGCUGGACUGUGACUGACGUUGAGGCACGAAGGCGUGGGGAGCAAACAGGAUUAGAUACCCGUGUAGUC